rnacentral:rRNA from 1 species
CCUACGGGUGGCUGCAGUGGGGAAUCUUGCGCAAUGCGCGAAAGCGUGACGCAGCAACGCCGCGUGGGGGAAGACGGCCUUCGGGUUGUAAACCCCUUUCAGGAGGGACGAAGGUGUGGCGGUUAAUAGCUGUCCGCACUGACGGUACCUCCACAAGAAGCUCCGGCUAACUACGUGCCAGCAGCCGCGGUAAUACGUAGGGAGCAAGCGUUGUCCGGAAUCAUUGGGCGUAAAGCGCGCGUAGGCGGCCCGGUAAGUCCGCUGUGAAAGUCCAG